UACGUAGGGCGCAAGCGUUUAUCCGGAAUUAUUGGGCGUAAAGAGCUCGUAGGCGGUUUGUCGCGUCUGCCGUGAAAGUCCGGGGCUCAACUCCGGAUCUGCGGUGGGUACGGGCAGACUAGAGUGCAGUAGGGGAGACUGGAAUUCCUGGUGUAGCGGUGAAAUGCGCAGAUAUCAGGAGGAACACCGAUGGCGAAGGCAGGUCUCUGGGCCGUAACUGACGCUGAGGAGCGAAAGCAUGGGGAGCGAACAGG
rnacentral:rRNA from 1 species